CGGGCUGUAGCGCAGUGGCUAGCGCGCUUGGUUCGGGACCAAGAGGCCGCGGGUUCAAGUCCCGCCAGCCCGA
rnacentral:tRNA from 1 species